rnacentral:rRNA from 1 species
CAACGCGACCCCAGUCAGGCG